rnacentral:rRNA from 1 species
GCCAGACUCCUACGGGAGGCAGCAGUGGGGGAUAUUGCACAAUGGGGGGAACCCUGAUGCAGCGACGCCGCGUGGGUGAAGGAGUGCUUCGGCAUGUAAAGCCCUAUCGGCAGGGAAGAAGCAAGACGGUACCUGACUAAGAAGCCCCGGCUAACUACGUGCCAGCAGCCGCGGUAAUACGUAGGGGGCAAGCGUUAUCCGGAUUUACUGGGUGUAAAGGGAGCGUAGACGGCGAUGCAAGCCAGAUGUGAAAGCCCGGGGCUCAACCCCGGGACUGCAUUUGGAACUGUGUGGCUGGAGUGUCGGAGAGGCAGGCGGAAUUCCUAGUGUAGCGGUGAAAUGCGUAGAUAUUAGGAGGAACACCAGUGGCGAAGGCGGCCUGCUGGACGAUGACUGACGUUGAGGCUCGAAAGCGUGGGGAGCAAACAGGAUUAGAUACCCUGGUAC